CCCAGACCCAGAACUGCCUGAUCCUGCCUGCUCGGGAGUGCCCCUCGUUUUAUGAAAAAGAGAAUGACAUCUCUGUGGCUUUUCCUUCCCCUGUUAUGGGCCCCCAGCUGUGUCCUCUCCCAGGUGCAGCUGGUGCAGACCGGCCCGGGCGUGGUGAAGCCCGGACAAACCCUCACACUGACCUGCGCUGUCUCGGGUGUCUCCAUCACUGACAGCAGCUACUCGUGGAGCUGGGUCGGGCAGCCCCCCAGGAAAGGGCUGGAGUGGGUAGCACGUAUAUACCCACACGACGGGAGAAAGUGGUUUGCCGCGUCUCUCCAAAGCCGGACCACCAUCUCUGCAGAUACCUCCAAGAACCAGGUCUCCCUGCAGCUGGCCUCCCUCGCGGCUGCAGACACCGCCAUGUAUUACUGCGCCAGAGACACACAGUGACGCAGAGCAAAGCGGGGCAGGUACAAAAAGGGGGAGCGGAUUGUCUAGACUCACUCGGGGCCCUUUCACACUCACAUCUGCAUUAGAAGCGGGGUGAGACACUGGUCACAAGGAGGUUUAGGAGGUGGAAAGGGGAGAGGGAAAAUUCCUCGUCUCCUCACUCAGCUCCUUGUAAAACAGAAACACAGAGCUCACAUCUCAUGGCUUCCCCCGGGGGAAUCAAUCAGAC